rnacentral:rRNA from 1 species
UUUUGGACAAUGGGCGCAAGCCUGAUCCAGCCAUUCCGCGUGAGUGAAGAAGGCCUUCGGGUUGUAAAGCUCUUUCGCAAGGGAAGAAACGAUAUUAGCGAAUAACUAAUGUUAAUGACGGUACCUUGAUAAGAAGCACCGGCUAACUACGUGCCAGCAGCCGCGGUAAUACGUAGGGUGCGAGCGUUAAUCGGAAUUACUGGGCGUAAAGCGUGCGCAGGCGGUUUUGUAAGUCAGAUGUGAAAUCCCCGAGCUCAACUUGGGAACUGCGUUUGAAACUACAAGACUAGAAUAUGUCAGAGGGGGGUAGAAUUCCACGUGUAGCAGUGAAAUGCGUAGAGAUGUGGAGGAAUACCAAUGGCGAAGGCAAUCCCCUGGACCUGUACUGACGCUCAUGCACGAA